rnacentral:rRNA from 1 species
UUCAUGGAGAGUUUGAUCCUGGCUCAGGACGAACGCUGGCGGCGUGCCUAAUACAUGCAAGUCGAGCGGACAGAUGGGAGCUUGCUCCCUGAUGUUAGCGGCGGACGGGUGAGUAACACGUGGGUAACCUGCCUGUAAGACUGGGAUAACUCCGGGAAACCGGGGCUAAUACCGGAUGCUUGAUUGAACCGCAUGGUUCAAUUAUAAAAGGUGGCUUUUAGCUACCACUUACAGAUGGACCCGCGGCGCAUUAGCUAGUUGGU